rnacentral:tRNA from 1 species
UCCUCAGUGGUUCAACGGGUAAAGAAUCUGCCUGCAAAGCAGAAGAUGUGGGUUUGAUUCCUGGCUUAGGAA